CUUUGAGUAUUAGUAUAUCCCAUGCAAUAUUUGGAACAUACUGACUCUAAAA
rnacentral:miRNA from 1 species